rnacentral:rRNA from 1 species
CCAAUAGCGUAUAUUAAAGUUGUUGCAGUUAAAAAGCUCGUAGUUGAAUUUCGGGGUCAGUAGGCUGGUCGUGCCACGGGUAUGUACUGGUCUUACUGAUUCCUCCUUCCUGAUGAACCGUAAUGCCAUCAAUUUGGUGUUGCGGGGAAUCUGGACUGUUACUUUGAAAAAAUUAGAGUGUUUAAAGCAGGCUAACGCUUGAAUACAUUAGCAUGGAAUAAUGAAAUAGGACGAUCGAUCCUAUUUUGUUGGUUUCUAGGAUUGACGUAAUGAUUAAUAGGGAUAGUUGGGGGCAUUAGUAUUCAAUUGUCAGAGGUGAAAUUCUUGGAUUUAUUGAAGACUAACUACUGCGAAAGCAUUUGCCAAGGAUGUUUUCAUUAAUCAAGAACGAAAGUUAGGGGAUCGAAGACGAUCAGAUACCGUCGUAGUCUUAACCAUAAACUAUGCCGACUAGGGAUCGGAUGAUGUUAAUUUUUUUAAUGACUCAUUCGGCGCCUUACG